rnacentral:rRNA from 1 species
AGUGAACGCUGGCGGUAGGCCUAACACAUGCAAGUCGAACGGCAGCACAGUAAGAGCUUGCUCUUACGGGUGGCGAGUGGCGGACGGGUGAGGAAUACAUCGGAAUCUACUUUUUCGUGGGGGAUAACGUAGGGAAACUUACGCUAAUACCGCAUACGACCUACGGGUGAAAGCAGGGGAUCUUCGGACCUUGCGCGAUUGAAUGAGCCGAUGUCAGAUUAGCUAGUUGGCGGGGUAAAGGCCCACCAAGGCGACGAUCCGUAGCUGGUCUGAGAGGAUGAUCAGCCACACUGGAACGAGGAAACGGUCAAAACCCCUAGGGGAGGCAGAAGGGGGGAAUAUGGGAAAAGGGGGGCAAGCUGGACCAGCCAUACCGCGUGGGUGAAGAAGGCCUUCGGGUUGUAAAGCCCUUUUGUUGGGAAAGAAAAGCAGCAGGUUAAUACCCCGCUGUUCUGACGGUACCCAAAGAAUAAGCACCGGCUAACUUCGUG